rnacentral:tRNA from 1 species
GGGCGAUUAGCUCAGUUUGGUUAGAGCGCCUGCUCGACACGCAGGAGGUCAUUGGUUCGACUCCGAUAUCGCCCA